UACGUAGGGUGCGAGCGUUGUCCGGAAUUAUUGGGCGUAAAGAGCUCGUAGGCGGUGUGUCACGUCGUUCGUGAAAACCUGCAGCUUAACUGUGGGCGUGCGGUCGAUACGGGCAUCACUGGAGUUCGGCAGGGGAGACUGGAAUUCCUGGUGUAGCGGUGAAAUGCGCAGAUAUCAGGAGGAACACCGGUGGCGAAGGCGGGUCUCUGGGCCGGUACUGACGCUGAGGAGCGAAAGCCAGGGGAGCAAACGGG
rnacentral:rRNA from 1 species